AACAUUGCUUGGCUGCAAGGCUGUAUGCAACAUCCUGGAGGGGUCAUGCAAGUGGUGAAUGACCUAAAUUUCUGCUGAUUUGAGAUGGAUUAACAUUCUGAUUUGUCUCGGUGGGGAGGAGAGAAAGAAACAGUCUACAUAGCACAAACUGGAGAAUCCAGAAUUAUUACAUUAGGGCUAUGUUGCAUGGACCUCAUAAUACACGUUAAGUGCACUUAAAACCUGAGCGGCUGCAUGUUCAAGCAGUAAAACACAUGCUAAAGGCACUCGUAUCUUAGCAGACUUGCAGCUUUUUGCACAAGGAGUAUCUCCAGAUGGUAUUAAGUAACACUUGUUCAGCUACCAUCAGCCUGCUCCAUGGAGAUAAUAAGAGCAAUGUACAAUCUGCUGGCAUUGCAGGAUGCACCACUCCCAGCUCCAAACCCCACCCUCCCCCAGCUCUAAGGGUUGGUCUGUUGAUCCACCUGAACUCUACUGCUCAUGGGGGUGGUACCCCAGCCCAUAUGAUAGCACCCUGAACCCCCAUUGAAAGUUUCAAGGUUUGCUGAGGUCUCCACUGUUGCUUGAAUGUUUCAGUAUGAACAUUAAACACCUCGGUUCAUGAGCUGAACCAAAUCAGAGGAUGUCCUCCUUGGACCACUGCAGGAGGGCCAUGAACUGGACUUGUGAUGAGGUACUAGACUUCAUCAUGAUCUGGGGUGAGGAGAGAGCCAUUUAUUACCCUCUAAGAAUGGGAAGGGCAGCUGACAACCAGGAGGUCUAUGAGUAUAUUGUAACCCAGAUGGUGGCUUGGCACAUGAUCUGUUGCUAGUCUCACUCUGCGCUAAAGUGGAGUGUGUGAAGUCAUAAUACAUUUGGGGCAGGGACACCUACAUCUUGGGUGCCAUGAGGACUCUGGUCUCCUACUCUGAGGAGCUAUCAAGAAUCCUUCAGACAGGCCACACUGUCACUCCUUGUCACACUAUUCACUGCAUAUCUGCAGGCCCACUGUGGUGUAGCAGUGGUGAUGCAAAUGAUUGAAUCCUCUUCACUGCCUUCUACUGAACCAGCUUUGAAGGGGCAGAAGGAUGCCUGAUCAGUGAGUUUGUUGCCUAGCCAGAUCCUGACCCAGACCCAGGAUGCACAAGAUGGGGACCACUCAGAUGAGUCUCAUUGAAUGAGUGGACACAGAUGAACAAACACCAGCUGAUGGUAAAUUUCAGCGACUCUGGGAGGAAAAGAUUACAGGAUCUACAAGGUCUACUCUGCUGUCAGACAACGGUGUGUUGUACACCUGCAGAGCAUGUUUGGAAAUCCAGAACCAACGCAUGUUAUCUACUAACAGCAGAAGUGACUUUGAGUGUGCUUCUAAAAUGUUCACUCCUCAGUGUUAGCUCUGGCCGACAAGAACUCAGGAGGUUCCAGCACCAAUGCUGUCCCAAGGACAUGAAGAGAUGCUUCUGCUCAGAGGUUGUCCCAUAGCUGAAAAUGUUAGUGGGACCAGCAAGGUCAGAUGCUGAAGAGCUUUGUGGAGUUCUUCACAUGCUGAGCCAAUGCAAUGGACAGCUGGUUUUCUGCUAAGAGGCAGACCUGUAGAUAAGGGACUUGGGCUGAACCAAAAGCCACCCUACAGUAUA